AUUUUUCCAGGGCAGGGGAGAUACCAUGAUCAUGAAGGUAGUUUUUCCAGGGCGAGACUUACUCAUUGCUCUUUGUAUGUGCUGAUCCCUACGAUUUCCUCAAACAUGGGAAACUCAACUGCAAAAUAUGUGGUACUGGGGGACUGGGUUCAUAACUUCUCU